ACGAACGCUGGCGGCGUGCUUAACACAUGCAAGUCGAACGGUGAAGCGAGUGCUUGCACUCGUGGAUCAGUGGCGAACGGGUGAGUAACACGUGAGUAACCUGCCCAUCACUCUGGGAUAAGCACUGGAAACGGUGUCUAAUACUGGAUACGACCAACCCUUGCAUGGGGUGUUGGUGGAAAGAUUUAUCGGUGAUGGAUGGACUCGCGGCCUAUCAGCUUGUUGGCGGGGUAAUGGCCCACCAAGGCGACGACGGGUAGCCGGCCUGAGAGGGUGACCGGCCACACUGGGACUGAGAGACGGCCCAGACUCCUACGGGAGGCAGCAGUGGGGAAUAUUGCACAAUGGGCGAAAGCCUGAUGCAGCGACGCCGCGUGAGGGAUGACGGCCUUCGGGUUGUAAACCUCUUUCAGCAGGGAAGAAGCGAAAGUGACGGUACCUGCAGAAGAAGCACCGGCUAACUACGUG
rnacentral:rRNA from 1 species